UUUAUUGAGGAUGAUGUGCCAUUUAUAGUUGGAGCUUUCUGUGCAACUGUCUUCUAGAAGAUCUUAUUAAAGAGGCAGGGAGCCCUUUUGAGCACUUCACUAGUCCUGGCAUAAACACAAUCAACUAUUCACCACUACCUUCAUCACUUCACAACGAUCUUCAUGACAACCCCGUUGGACAAAAGCUGGAUGAACUUGACCGAUAGACUUCGUUCGCCUGCAUAUGUCGA